CUUGGCAGGGCUUGGAAACGGUUCACCGUCAAGGCUCGGGGUGUUUGAAAGUCAGAGCUUACAUUUAUCCAAAUGGAUUGCUUGAGGCAGGAACGGGGGAAUAAUUUAUGUGGAUACUAUGCUUGCGAGUUCAUUCGCCAGACGACUCAUGAGAAGGAUAAAAACCGGGACAUAAAAAAAUUGAAAUCGAACGGUUGCUGGACGGUCUUCAACCAUAGAAACGUGUACGACCAAUUCAAGAGGAAAUUGCCGGAUUCUUAGAUGCACAGGUCCUAGAUGUGAAGGGAGAAUAUUAUUGC